rnacentral:rRNA from 1 species
UACGUAGGGUGCGAGCGUUGUCCGGAAUUAUUGGGCGUAAAGAGCUUGUAGGCGGUUUGUCGCGUCUGCUGUGAAAUCCCGCGGCUCAACCGCGGGUCUGCAGUCGAUACGGGCAGGCUAGAGUUCGGUAGGGGAGACUGGAAUUCCUGGUGUAGCGGUGAAAUGCGCAGAUAUCAGGAAGAACACCUAUGGCGAAGGCAGCUCUCUGGGACGGUACUGACGCUGAGACGCGAAAGCGUGGGGAGCGAACAGG